UUGCUCACUUUGACAGCACAUAUACUAAAAUUGGAACAAUACAGAGAAAAUUAGCAUGACCCCUGCACAAGGAUGACAUGCAAAUUUGUGAAGUGUUCUGUAUUUUU
rnacentral:snRNA from 1 species